rnacentral:misc_RNA from 1 species
GAUGAAGAACGUAGCGAAAUGCGAUAAGUAAUGUGAAUUGCACAAUUCAGUGAAUCAUCGAAUCUUUGAACGCACAUUGCGCCCGCCAGUAUUCUGGCGGGCAUGCCUGUUCGAGCGUCAUUUCAACCAUCAAGCCCCGGGCUUGUGUUGGGGACCUGCGGCUGCCGCAGGCCCUGAAAUGCAGUGGCGGGCUCGCUGUCACUCCGAGCGUAGUAGUUACAUCUCGCUCUGGGCGUGCUGCGGGUUCCGGCCGUUAAAAGCCUUAUUUACCCAAGGUUGACCUCGGAUCAGGUAGGAAGACCCGCUGAACUUAAGCAUAUCAAUAAGCGGAGGA